rnacentral:rRNA from 1 species
UACAGAGGGUGCGAGCGUUAAUCGGAAUUACUGGGCGUAAAGAGCUCGUAGGCGGCCUGUCGCGUCGACCGUGAAAACCCGCAGCUCAACUGCGGGCUUGCGGUCGAUACGGGCAGGCUGGAGUUCGGUAGGGGAGACUGGAAUUCCUGGUGUAGCGGUGAAAUGCGCAGAUAUCAGGAGGAACACCGGUGGCGAAGGCGGUUCUCUGGGCCUUACCUGACACUGAGGAGCGAAAGCGUGGGGAGCGAACAGG